rnacentral:lncRNA from 1 species
UGGAAUGAAGAGAGGGAAAGAAAGAAAGAAAAAGAGAGAGGGUGAGGAAAAGGAAAAGAGAGAGGGUGAGGAAAAGGAAUUUUUUCUUUUUAAUUUUUUUAUUAAUGAUGAUGUAGUGUGCUUGCGUGGUUGGUCUGUGUGGCAAAGUGAAUGGAAUAGGAUGGAAAAUGUUGACGACGAGUUGGAGAAAUUUUGACUCAUACCAAAAUGACUAAAACACGACCUUAAGAUAAUUAAAACACGUCAAACUUAGAGGACUAUUAAAGUCGAUAGCCCGAAUCUUUAGUUAAACAUUGUCGUUUAGAUGGGGGGUGGAGAGAGAGAGAGAGUUGGGAGAAGUCUG